CCUUACUAAACUAGCUAACUCAUAAUCAAUUCAUGAAACUGAUCCUAUGCAUGUCUGUUUUACAAACCACCUGUAUGCUUAUGAUCUUUUGAUUAAUACAUAUAAUAUGCAUGCAAAGCAAAAUAAAGAUGUGCAAUACAUGCAUAAAGAUUUCAAAACAACUCAUGCAUACAAGAUGAACACUCAAAAAUUGUUGACUCAUGCCAUGUCACUACGAAAUUCACAUGAGUACACAAAUCUGUAUAUCUAUCCUAAGAACAGGUGGGACAGGCAAACAUGCCAAUUGUCAAAACUCAGUAUGACAAAUCUUCUUGAUCUUGAAAAUCCAAACAUUCUCGACUUUGGUGAAAGAACUUCCAAACUCAUGCCUGCACAGCAACCUCGGUAUUGAAGAUUCAGCCACCAUACUCAACACAUCACAACAAGGUCAAUCAGUUACUCACCCUACAACCACCAUAUCUGAUAUAUGAGUUGAACAGCAACGACAACAUCCUGCAAGUAGCUCGGGCAAAAGCAAAUCUUGCACCUGCUCUACAUACAUCAAACAUCAUCUGCAAGAGUGAAGAUAAAGCAAAUUCAGGAAUGCGUCGUUUACUACAAAAGGUAUGUGUUUUAAAUAAAUUAUAUAUAUAAAACAUAUCUGAAAUCAGAUUUUCCAAACAUCUGAAAAGACAACUUCUGUCUAAAAAUCUAAUUAGGAUAUGUUUGUUCAUAUCCACCAAGUAGGGUUUAUUGAAAAACAAACCCUAAAAG
rnacentral:lncRNA from 1 species